CUCUCAGAGUAUCAAAUAGCUACUACUCUCUUUUCCUCCUCCCGCAGCCCUUUCUAAUUUUUCCUGCUUUCCCUCCACCAUCCUUGCUCCUUGUUGACGGAAGGAGAAGAGGAAGCUGAACUGUCGGAUCAUCGACGGCUGCUGGGGCCAUUCUCGUAGUUCCCUGAGUGAUUCCUGAAAUGCUACUCGCAUUCUCACUGAGAUCGAACUCUAGGUCAUGCCUCUGCUCUGGAGUCCACCAAUAAAUCAGCGUGGCCUAGAAUUAGCCACUGAUAGCCGGUUAGCGGGAAUCUCGGCGCAGUUCCAAGAUGGGAUCCGGAGAGAUCCCGUUUUGUAUAUGCGUUGGGAUUCCCGCCAGCUGCUCGCUGGAGUGGGUGGUAUGUUGGGGAUGCAUACUAAAGCCAAGUUUUUUUAGAAAGGAAAACUUCCCUAUUUACGAUCAGCUAGACAUAUUAAUACAAGCUGGAGUUCUUUGCAUUGUGGAAGUGGCACAAACAUCACAACCGCAAGGAAUGGAAAUGAGCCUAAGAAAAUAAGAAGGAAAAUAAUUCUAUUGGUCCUUCGGAUCUUUGCUUCCAAAAGAUGACUAGGAACAUCAAUUUCUAGAAGAAGAAGAAGAAAAAAAAGAAGAAGAUGAUGAUGAUGAUGACUGGAUGCCAAGUCAGAUCUGGUGGAGAAGAGAACCAAGUAUUACUGAUCUGUUGAAAUGGGAAGAUAUUGGUUUGCAAACAUCACUUUUUAUCUAAAUCAACAAAAACAAAUCAUAUUCAGAUAUCUGUGCAUCUUUGUGUCUAUAUUUCAAUUUGAAUCCUCAUAUUUAGUUGAUAACAGUAGGGUCUAGUGAAGAUGUUGAAGUGAUACUGUUUUCCUUCUGGGAUUAAACUGUAGCAUGUGAAUGCAGCAUAUAGUGUUAAUUGCCACUCCAAUUGAAGUUUUGAUGCUUGGACCACUGGACUAUGUGGAUUGGCAGGCCCAUGGCCCACCAUUCUAACAUGUUCUGAUUUUGGGCUGUUUGUUGCAAAAUUUGAGGUUAAAUGUCAGUGAUCAUAUUUGCCAUUUGUGGAAGAUAAGGGGGGCUGAUGUGGAAGAUAUGAUUGGAGAUUUUGGGGUAUUUAAUAGAUUUUCUUUUGUUAUUUAAAACCAAAUCUUCAUUGGUGUGAUUUUGUUAUUGUAAAUAAGUUAUAGAUUGAUUUAAAAUCAAUGUAAUAGUUUGUGUAUUUUCAUUGAAGAUUCAUAGGGAUUGUCUUUAGGGUCUAUAAAGGGGGAGGUGCUAUAGGAGGUAGGCAUUCCACAUUUUUUUACAUUUAUGAGUUUUUGUGUAAGCCUUUGUAAGGAGAAUUUUAAUUUUCAUUGAAGUUGCUCACUCCUUGCUACUCGAACAUUCUUGGGGGCAUACUCUUGUCCAUUCUUGCGAUCCAAGUAUUGAAAUCUCAUUGACUCAAUAACUAGGUUGCACUAUUUUGGAAUCAAAGCAGGUGCUUGUUGGGGGGAUUUUGACUCCACGUCAUUCCCUAAUGGUUUCGAAGGGGUGACGCAUGAAGAAUUUGUGUUUUGAGCCAAAAGUUACUAUCUCACUGGAAAGCUUUGAUCAAGUGCAGGUGUGGUUUUGUUAUUUCUUUAACUCUGCUUGAAAGCAACUGAUCUUAUCUCUCUUCAUGAAUUCAAACAACAGAAUCUUUUUAUUUCCUUCAUGUUUUCCUUUAAUCUACUAACUUUGCCAUUUUGCAUUCAGAAUGCUUCUGAUUUUGAACUUCCAGAUUUGUUACAGAUGCAUUAGGCAAUGUGAUACCUGGAGUCUGUGGUGUUCAUAAUCAACGGCAGGUUAGGUUCUCAUUGAUAAACAUUAUAUUGUAAAGUGGCAUUCAUGAACAAAUGCACAAUGAUUGGCAUUCUAAAUUGAUCAACUUGAACAAAUUUCUCUGCUGCUCCAUAAAGAUGGGAAACAAAUUACAUAGUACCAGUUUUGAGCUCUUGCUAAAUUCCAAUCUGUUUUAAGGAUCCCAAAUAAAUUCAGGUUCUAGAGUACCAUAGCAUUUUACCCACCUCAAAUUGAAAUCACUUGUUUUGAAAUAUCUUAUCCAUUACUCGGUUUGCAGCAUGCACGACAUGGGCAGUCUGUAACUGUUUCCAAUCUGAUAUGUCCAGUUAGUCUACAAUUCAAUACUGGCAGAAUUUGCUGGCCAUUGAUUGGUGAGGAGACAGUUCCAACUGAACUGACAGUUCUGCAUUUUGACACUUCACAGAGGGAGGGAGAGGGUUAAGGAUUUCUUCAAACAUGUUCAAGUCGCCACUGUUUGUCUUACUACUUUUCACCAUGCCAUUUGAUUCAUCAGCUGGUUAAGGAUCUCUUCAAACAAGUUCAAGUCGCUACCAUUUGUCGUACUAAUUUUCACCAUGCCAUUUGAUUCAUCAGUUAAGGAUCUCUUCAUGUUCAAGUGGCCACUGUUUUUUCUUACUACUUUUCACAAUGCCAUUUGAUUCAUGAGCUUGUUUGGAAAGGUUUUUGGGGUCCAUCUGGUAUGGAUCUGUUCAAAUAAGCUUUGUUUUGUCUUACUUAAUGGCUUGUACUGCUUUUCACCGUGCCAUUUGGUUCAUCACAGUUUUGAGUGUUUUCAGAAUGCCCUGGGAAAGGAAUUAUGGUAUUUGGCGUGAUCAUCCACAUGUGUAUAAUCAAAUGCUUAUAAAAAACAACAACACUAACAUAGAGGAGUCUUUUUAUUUUUGCUGCUCUUCUACGGUGAUUUGAUGGAUUCAUGG